GAAUUCAACAUGAUGGAUGACCUCUUUGAUGUCAUACUUCAAGAGGUCAUCAUCAGGAUCUUGGAAAAGAAUGAGGGCUUCAGCUGCUAUCGGGCAGAAUUUGCCAUGGCCCGUGGAUUUCACCAUUAAAGGCUGAAGAAAUGU